rnacentral:misc_RNA from 1 species
UUUCCGUAGGUGAACCUGCGGAAGGAUCAUUAUUGUAUAACAGAAGUGAGAGGGCUGUCGCUGACCCGAAAGGUCGUGCACGCCCGAGUGCCCUCACACACAGCCAUCGCACCCAUAAGUGCAACACCGCGUGGGUCCCCCUGAGGCAUGUGAGGAGGGGGGCCUACGUGUUAAAACAAACUUUGUAUGAAGUGUAGGAUGUAGUUUUGGUUUUUGCGACAACGCAAUCAAAAAAACUAUGAACAACGGACCGCUUGGCUCUCACAACGAUGAAGAACG